UUUCAUUUUGAUUAGACAAGAGAAACAUCUCUACAAGAAUUGGUACAACACGUUGGUUAAAUUAUGUCCCUGAGCAUUUGGCAGCUAGAUCUCAAAUAUUUUUUUCCUAUAAUAUAUGCUUCACAUCCCAAGAAUUACUAGAUAUUUGCUUUGAAUUAUUUUAGCAUAAGUAACUGCAAAUCAUUUAUCAGAAAAAAGGAAUUAGAGAAAUUUAUCUCUGUAAAGGAGGACAGGCCUUCGUGUAUUAAUAAGGCUUCUCCAUUAUGAUUCGGGUUUCGCACGUUGGAAACACGGAAACAGCCUCUUUGCAUGUGGGAAAGGUUGCAUACAUUUGACACUUCCUAGAUCCUGUAGUAGCGGGAGCAUCAUGCACUAGGAUGCCUAUUUUAGACAUUUGUCUUUGCAAAAGAAGUAUUAUUUUGGAUUUUGCAACCCAUAAAUGCUUAUUCUAGGUUUCUGGAAAGUUUGACAUCCAACUUAUAAACACUACAUCAUCAUGUUUCUUUGAUGGCAAAAAUGCUGUAGUCAUGUAGCA
rnacentral:lncRNA from 1 species